AGAAAGUCUCUGAUAUGAAUUUAGCAUAGUGCAGAAAAUAUACACAUGAAACAUUUUAUUUAUUUGUAAACCACAAUGUCAUAGUUUACAUCGAAAUUAUCAGCUUUCUUUUCUUGCAAGGUAUAAAUACUAUAGUAGCAGUAUAUAUAUACAUGUUUGAUGAUUGUUUCUUCUUCCAAAUCAGCAUCUCCCAUUCUUCACAACCUACUAUACAAUGGAAAAGAGUCAGUAAGAAGUUCUAGAAAUAAAAAAGAUACUCCAAAUUCACGAAAGAGUUCAUAACAAAAACACUCUAGAAAAGAAAGAUCAACAAGCCCUUGUGCUUUCUGGAAUAGACUGGAUAGACUGGAUAAAGUAAUAUCUUGUGCUUUCUGGAAUAAUGUCUUGGGUCAAAAUAAUUGAUGCACACAUAUCGCACAAGUCUAUAUAUUGAUGUCAUCAUGAGAUUUUACUGAAAUAUUUGAAGCCAAUUGCAUGUACAAUAUCAAUAGGGGAAAUCCAUGACCUAUGUGCAGAAACAACAUUUGGUAGUUGCAGAAGUUAGAUCAUUCAGAGCUUUUAUUCUAGCAUGCUAACUGAUAGGUCUUGCACACGGAAUUUAGUCACAACAACAUUCAUUCCAUACAAAUGUCGUUAAGUAUUACUGUAUUAAGAACUAUAGAAAUGUAUUUUAAGACAUCAGGAUCAGAAACUAUACCUGGGAUGCAGAUUUGUUAGGUGACGCCUCCACGGCGAAAUCAUAGUCUCACACUCUCGCUACUUCCCAUAAGAUCCAUAAUUCAGCAAGGACUUCAGUCUGUUAGUUGUGGCCUCAAAGCCUAUGAACAUAUCUACUAACAAUUAACUAAAUUCAUGUUAACAAAAGAAAGUUACCCCAAACAAAUGUGUAGCCGUCUUACAUCUCUCUCAACAGAACUGAAGUGCACAUGUUUCGUCUCUAGCAAAAUAUCUUCCUUGUUGUAUUUGUUCCAUUCUGGACUUCGUCGGUUUCAAAGGUACGAACAAAACAACUGUAAAAAAAUAAUGGCGGCACAAAUGAUGAUUCACCAUCUACAUAUUAUAAAGAAAAAACGAAGGAGAGACAGUGGCGACAUGUCGGAUGCGGGAUGUGGCCAACUUGGAUAAGUCAUCAUGCAACCAUGGGGCAUGGUUAGACAGCAAGCCCAGGGGCCGGUGCCAUCGAUCGGGCAGCCUAUCAGUGAUAGCGACUUACUUCCAUGUUAGGUCGUCCGUUUCACACAUCUGGAUGCAAGGAGCACCGCUAUUGGGUGGUUGAAUGUAGGGAUCGAUGGCGUCCUACGUAAAGUGAGGCCCGGAUGUAAUCUUAAAUAAAUCCAUCUGCACGUCAACUAAAAUCAGUUCCCAAAAAGAUAAAUCAAAGUUUAGAUAGAAUAAACAAAUACUGAAAUAGACUGGUCGCACCGAAACUUGCUAUGAACAAAAAACAUUAAGAGACUUUCUUGAUAAGGUAAUAAUGGUGUAGAACAAGAUAGAGAUAUUGCACGUCCUAGCUUGAACAACCAAUUCUUACCAGAUCUAAAUACCCUUUUGAUAAUCAACUAAACCUAGGAACAACAACUAAAG
rnacentral:lncRNA from 1 species